rnacentral:lncRNA from 1 species
UGCUGCUUCUUCUGCAAGUACCUCUUCUUCCAUGGAUUCUGCUAAUUUUAUUCUUCGGCACGAUACAACGAUGGUAAACAAGUGGAAAAGACUGAAAAGAGCAAGAGUAGUUGACGAUUUGGAGGCCAAGUUUCUGGUCUGUGUAAAUGCACUUAGAGGUCUUGGGCGUAACAGUGGCUGCUAUCGCACCUCCUUUUUCUGGCGCCCACAGGGGCGUUAGUGGGGUUAAGGGAUUUUUCCAAUUAAAGGAUAAUCGAAACGGGAUUUAUUAUUUAAGAUUUAGAUUCGCCACUUGGGAGAUUUAUGGUGUCCCAAGUCACCAGUUGAAUCCCGAAUCGAGGAAAGUGUUAGGCAUUCCCGAGUUCCGUGGUUAUAGCACGGUCGCUCAACUAUCGUAUUCGGCUUAUUUAUCUGAUUUUAACAAUUAUGUAAUUAGUGCAAGUCAUGAUUUUUUAACCGAUUUUCUUAUUAUUAUUAUUAUUAUUAUUAUUAUUUUAAUAAAGUUAAAGCUUAAAAGGAAAGCAAAAGCCAAAGUUAAAGCAAAAAGCAAAAGUUAAAGCAAAAGUAAAAAGUUAAAGCAAAAGUUAAAAUUAAAGCAAAAGUUAAAAUUAAAGCAAAAGUUAAAGUUAAAGCAAAAAGGGUGUUAUUAUUUUUUGGGAAAGGCCGUGAAAUUUUACUAAACGUCCCGUCCCGGAGUCUGAGUAACUUUAGAGAGACGUGUAGAGGGCCCCGCAGCUUGCGUAUUUUUGUUUGGAGAAGCACACCUCAUUUGUUAAUUUUUAAAAGAAUUGCAACAUCAUGGAAAUGCAUUUCGAACCACAUCACAAUCAAUGUACCCGUGAUUUUCGACGCCUUUCGACUUCGUUUGGAUUUGGAUCUAGGUCGCAUAAAUGCGCACCCGAGUUUAAGAAGGUAAGAUUAAUUAAAGUGCAUACCUAAAGAUUCUAACGCGUUAUUAGUUUGGGGAAGGCCCUGCAAUUCUCUACACGGCUCAUCCCGAAGUCUAAGUAUUUUUUUAAUAUAACAUUGGUGAGGGCCCCGCAAUUUGUGUAUUUUAUUUGGCGAAACUCAUCUCACUUAUUAUUUAAAAGGCAAACCUAAAAGCAACUACGAUUCUCUACUUUAUUUGUCUCUAAAAAAUAAAUUCUAAUAUAUUCACUGAGAUUAUCCAAUCCAAUAAUUUACAUUAAACAAUUAUUGUCCUACCUAAACGAUGAACAAUAGACAACAAUUCAUCAUAGUGAUAUAAUUUACUAAAUACACAUUAUAUCAUAUUUGUAUAUAUUUUACAAAUAAUACAGCACGAGUUACUACGUAGAGAAUAAUCACACGAUAUCAACAAUGUAACACAAAUUUAAAUACAAACAACAGUAAAAUAUGAGAAAAUCAAGUAAACAAAUACUUAUUUAAUUUUCUUCAUUGAGUAAACUAACCGUGAAAUACGUCGAACAAAUCGAUAGGGACAGAGCAACAAAUCUGGAACCAACUGACCGGAAAACUCGAACCUCGACGGAAAACCUUUCUCGGACAGUAAAUGAAACUCGAAUCACACCGACAAACUCGAACUCAGCUCAAACUCGAUGGGGAGGGCUGGUUUGGUUAGUGUCGUUUGGGCACUGGUUUUUGGCGUGAAAGAGGCAGCAAUGGUGGUUCGUUCAGGUGGAGAAGACGACGGGAUUGGUUGCCGCUGCUCAACGUCGCUGGAACGAAGAAGAUGACGAAGCAGAAGCUGGACGUGAGGCAGCAGUUACGGAGGUUCGACUGGUGUGGAGGGGCGGCUGUUCGCUGGUGUAGAUGGUGAGGUCGACGGGAGGUCGUUUGGGCGGUGAAGGUGACGAUGAGCAGAUGGCUGGCGUUGCUGACUGGGGGUGACGGAGAGGGGGCUAUGGCUGCUAGUGGUGAGUUUGUUGACGAUGAAGGAGACGGGGACGGGCAGUUAUCGUCGAAGAAGAUGAAGCCAAGGUUUACGUUUUUUCUGUUGGUGCAUUCGUGAAGAAGAACGAAGGACCUCCUUCAGUUGUCCGU